AUGUACUUGCGUGUACACUGCGGUUUCUGCGCUCCGUCCGCGCCCAGCCUGCCUUCGCUCGCUACGUUUUUUCAACA
rnacentral:sRNA from 1 species